GACAGAGGGUGCAAACGUUGUUCGGAAUUACUGGGCGUAAAGCGUGUGUAGGCGGCCACGUAAGUCGGAUGUGAAAGCCCCGGGCUCAACCCGGGAAGUGCACUCGAUACUGCGUGGCUUGAGUACUGGAGAGGUUGGUGGAAUUCUCGGUGUAGAGGUGAAAUUCGUAGAUAUCGAGAGGAACACCGGUGGCGAAGGCGGCCAACUGGACAGAUACUGACGCUGAGACGCGAAAGCGUGGGGAGCAAACAGG
rnacentral:rRNA from 1 species